GCAAGGGCACUCGUAGAGGUGCUGCAUGGCUGUCGUCAGCUCGUGUCGUGAGAUGUUGGGUUAAGUCCCGCAACGAGCGCAACCCUUGUCCUCUGUUGCCAUCAGGUUAUGCUGGGCACUCUGAGGAGACUGCCGGUGAUAAACCGGAGGAAGGUGGGGAUGACGUCAAGUCAGCAUGGCCUUUAUGUCUGGGGCUACACACGUGCUACAAUGGCCGGUACAAACCGUCGCGAUACCGCAAGGUGGAGCUAAUCGGAGAAAGCCGGUCUCAGUUCGGAUUGCAGGCUGCAAGAGGAGGAGAAGAGAAGUUGGAAUCGCUAGUAAUCGCGGAUCAGCACG
rnacentral:rRNA from 1 species